rnacentral:rRNA from 1 species
UCGUGGAGCGAUUUGUCUGGUUUAUUCCGAUAACGAGCGAGACUCUAGCCUACUAAAUAGUCUGCUCAUUGCUUUUGUGUUGCAGUACUUCUUAGAGGGAUUUUCGGUGUACAGCCGCACGAGAUUGAGCAAUAACA